UCAAAUGAGCACUACAAAUUUAAGCCUGAUGCUGCAAGAGAAAAAUCCUGGGCAAAAGGCACCAAUUCAACAGCAUGGUGGCCAAGAAAAAGGAUGGCCAUUCCCAAACAAGCAAGACCAGAGAUUGAACAGGAAAAAUCAUAAACACAGCAGAUGUGCGGUGCCAACCUUCUGAUAUGGACAAAUGUAUAUUUUCGUAUUUGAACGAUGAGCAGUUGAAGACUGCCAAUCUUUUGAUACUAUGAUUAUUUUGAGUACAUGAUACUAUGAACUUAUGUACAUGAAUUAAGCUUUUAUAGCAUC